AACUUCUCACUCUGUCCGGCCGUCGUGAAGUCGUCGCCACUUGCCAUAUUCUUCUUUUCUCAAAAUCCUAAUGGAUUGUUGAUUUCCCCACCCUAUAAUCGCGAUUUGAGUGAGGAAUUGAGAGAUGCCAGUGCUGUCUCCUCUAACCACGGGAUCUCCGAAACCGGCAACACCUUGUCACACCGCCCUUCUUCGUCAGCAUAUAUUUCCGCCAGAAGUCGAUAGGGAAGGAGAUCUGAAAAGAAUAAUCUGUGAUACUCAUGGAAUUGGAAUUGUCAAAGAAGAAUUUCAUGCGAUUUUGGUGGAUAGACAGUUUAAACAAUCCUAAUUUUAUUAUAGAUAUGAGGUUACAAUCAUAGCUCUGGCUCUGCGAAAAGUUUGUCAUCUAUUGUUAUGAUUUUAGUCAAUUUGGAAGCUAUUUUAGCUGGUAAACUGUUUGAGUUUAUUGCUUGCUCUCAGAGGGUAUGAUAUUCCCUUCAAUUGGAAGAUGAUUUUAGACAUACCUGAUUGAGAAAAACAACAAGGAGACACAAUACAUGCAAUCUCUUAAUUUACCAUGUGCUAUGUAUAUAAAUUGCUUUAUUUAUUUAUUUA